rnacentral:rRNA from 1 species
UACGGGGGGAGCAAGCGUUGUCCGGAAUUAUUGGGCGUAAAGAGCUCGUAGGCGGUCUGUCGCGUCGGUCGUGAAAACUUGGGGCUUAACCCUGAGCUUGCGGUCGAUACGGGCAUGACUGGAGUUCGGCAGGGGAGACUGGAAUUCCUGGUGUAGCGGUGAAAUGCGCAGAUAUCAGGAGGAACACCGGUGGCGAAGGCGGGUCUCUGGGCCGAUACUGACGCUGAGGAGCGAAAGCGUGGGGAGCGAACAGG